GGGGGUGAAAGGAUUCGACAGGAAAAGUAUAGGUUAAAAAGGCGGGAAGGUCGCCACGCCUUCAAAGUGGCUUAAGAAACUGCCGUCUACGCUUAACUUAAAAAAAUUUUCAAGGCAAGGAAUUUUUUAAAUUCCUUGCAAGCAAAACUGAGUGGUUUUACGGCGCUCAGUUUUGCUAAAACUUCCAACCGUAAACUUUUACAGGGUUUUGUGAGUUUUUUACCUGUAAAAGUAUCCAAACUCACUACGCCCGUAGAAUUUUUAACCUACUUUUCCUGGACGCGGGUUCAAUUCCCGCCACCUCCACAA
rnacentral:tmRNA from 1 species